AUAGUAUAGUAAAAGAUAUUAAUUUUUUGCCUUUUCAAACAUUUUCCUUCUCACGCGUAAAUUAUAUUAAUUAUAUUUAAUUGGUAUAAUAAAAGUUAAUAAUAAUAUAUUAAUUUUAUUUCCUAAUUAAUAAAAAUAUAAAGUAAUAAUAGUUAUUAGUAUUGAUACCCUAAUUAUAAUUAUAGGUGACUUUGAAUUAAAAUCCCUUUCAUUAUAGAUGAUUUUUAGAAUUUUUCAAAUAACUCAACAUAAUUAUAGAUGAUUUUGAAAUAAAAUCUCCUUCAUUAUAGGUGAUUUUUAAUAGUAUAGUAAAAGAUAUUAAUUUUUUGCCUUUUCAAACAUUUUCCUUCUCACGCGUAAAUUAUAUUAAUUAUAUUUAAUUGGUAUAAUAAAAGUUAAUAAUAAUAUAUUAAUUUUAUUUCCUAAUUAAUAAAAAUAUAGAGUAAUAAUAGUUAUUAGUAUUGAUACCCUAAUUAUAAUUAUAGGUGAUUUUGAAAUAGAAUCCCCUUCAUUAUAGGUGAUUUUUAGAAUUUCUCAAAUAUCUCAACAUAAUAUCCGCACCCGCCAAUUCUUUCGCAACGUAAUAUCCGUGAAUUUCUCAAAUAUCUCAUUAAUCCUUGACACAUAGAUUUUCUAUAUAAUAAAAGAUAUUAUUUUCUUAAAAAAUUUAAUUUUAUUUUUCCUAAAGUAGAAAAUCUACAUUUGAGCUUGACACGUGACAAGCAUAUAGAAAACCACGUGUCAGCUUCUCACAUAGGGUUCAUAAAGGAUUCUACUUUAGUAUAUAGAAAUAGAUAGAUAUGUCCGUCAUGUAUAAACGCAUUACACUCUCCUAUAUUAUUCAAUGUAGGACUAUUGAAAUGUCACAUUAAAUCUUUGCUUGU
rnacentral:lncRNA from 1 species